AAAAAGAGAAACUUACUCUCACAAUGGAAGGCUCCUUUUUACAAUUUUAAUUCCAAAAUAUUCUUUUUUUUUUUUCCAACUAACUCUAACCAAAUUCGUAGUCCAAACUUUGGUCAACAUAUUCUGUGAGCUCACUGUUCAAGAGAUUCGACGGAGGAAAUGGAAACGCCGGCGAGUAAAAUUCCGAGGAUCAAAUUAGGCUCGCAAGGCCUAGAAGUUUCUAGAAUCGGGCUGGGCUGUAGAGGCAUGUCUCCCAAUCAUGGCCCGCCCAAGCCCGAGCCCGAAAUGAUCAAGCUCAUUCAACACUCCAUUGAUCGCGGCGUCACCUUCCUCGAUACGUCCGAUCAGUAUGGACCUCACAUCAAUGAACUUCUCAUCGGCAAGGCAAUUAAAGGAAUGAGAGAAAAAGUACAAAUAGCUUCCAAAUUUGGCAUAAGUUUGAAAGAAGGGAAAAUGGACAUUUGUGGUGAACCAGAGUAUGUAAGAGCUUGUUGUGAAGCUAGCUUGAAGCGACUAGAUAUCGACUGCAUCGAUCUUUAUUAUGUUCAUCGGAUUGAUAUUCGAGUGCCUAUUGAAAUCACGAUGGGAGAACUGAAGAAAUUUGUUGAAGAGGGUAAAAUCAAAUAUAUAGGUUUAUCUGAGGCUUGCGCAGCAACAAUCAGAAGGGCACACGCGGUGCAUCCAAUAACAGCUGUUCAGAUGGAGUGGUCAUUGUGGACCAGAGAUCUUGAGGAAGAAAUAGUUCCAACUUGCAGAGAAUUAGGAAUUGGAAUUGUUCCGUAUAGUCCUCUCGGACGAGGAUUCUUCUCAGCAGGUCCAGAGUUGAUUGAGAGCUUGGCCGAGGGAGACUUCCGCAAGAAUAUACCAAGGUUCAAGCCUGAAAAUUUUGAGCACAACAAGCAAAUAUACGAGCAAGUCAAGGAAAUAGCAUCAAGAAAGGGAUGCACCACAUCACAACUUGCAUUGGCUUGGAUUCUUCACAAAGGAGAUGACAUAUGCCCCAUACCCGGUACCACCAAGAUUGACAAUCUCAACGAAAAUAUCGAAGCCAUAUCUGUAAAGCUGACAAUUGAUGAAAUGAUGCAGUUAGAGUCCUGUGCUGCUGAAGAUAUGGUUAAAGGCGAAAGGCACGCAUUCAUGUGGGCAACUUGGAUAAAUUCGGAGACUCCACCAUUGUCCUCCUGGAUAGAUGAAUAAUGGAUACUUUCUCGUCUUGCUUUGGAAGAAGCCUCCGUUAAGGCCCAAGUCUAAUUCGAAGUAAAGGCUGAACCAGGCAAUGUGUAAGAUGGAAGGGAAACAACUAUUAUAUUACAAAAAACAAAGAAGCAAUGUUUUGACAGGUUGUAAAUUAAUAAAGCUGCAUAACAAAGGCAUGAUGUUUAUAAAAGGCAACAAGAAAUCACAGUGAAAGAUCAUCUACAACAUACAGAAAAAGGACAGGGAUGUCGGCUCUAGGCGCACAAUAUACUUGAGCAUGAGCGUGGCUGCAACAAUUGGCUGUACUUUUGCUGCAAUUAUCAAAUUUAAUUUGAGAUAAACGUGGAGAAAUUAAGUGAAACCAAACAUUAGAUUAGAGAAAGGAA